rnacentral:rRNA from 1 species
AAACAAGUGCAACUUAGUUGGGCCCUCUAGGUGACUGCCGGUGACAACCGGAGGAAGGUGGGGAUGACGUCAAAUCAUCAUGCCCCUUAUGACCUGGGCUACACACGUGCUACAAUGGACGAUACAAACGGUUGCCAACUCGCGAGAGGGAGCUAAUCCGAUAAAGUCGUUCUCAGUUCGGAUUGUAGGCUGCAACUCGCCUACAUGAAGCCGGAAUCGCUAGUAAUCGCGGAUCAGCAUGCCGCGGUGAAUACGUUCCCGGGCCUUGUACACACCGCCCGUCACACCACGAGAGUUUGUAACACCCGAAGUCGGUGAGGUAACCUUUUGGAGCCAGCCCGCCGCAAGGUGUGGAUAGAAUGGAUAUGUGGGUGUAAGAUCCGUAACAAGGGGU